rnacentral:piRNA from 1 species
CCAGGACAAGAUGGCUGCAUAGAGC